rnacentral:antisense_RNA from 1 species
UGUUAUGGUGAGCUGGGUGGUGGAACGAAAGUUCGCCGUAUUGAUUAGAUCAACGGUACGCCAACUCCAUUCAGCUUGCCACCCUA